rnacentral:rRNA from 1 species
GACGAACGCCGGCGGCGUGCUUAACACAUGCAGGUCGAACGGAAAGGCCUGCUUUCCCUUGUGGAUUGCGGGUACUCGAGUGGCGAACGGGUGAGUAACACGUGAGUGAUCUGCCCCCAACUUGGGUAUAAGCCUGGGAAACUGGGUCUAAUUCCCGAUAGGACUGCAGGGUGGUGCCUGUGGUGGCAAACGAUUUUCUAGUGGUUGGGGAUGAGCUCGCGGCCUAUCAGCUUGUUGGUGGGGUAAUGGUUUACGAAGGCGGCGACGGGUAGCCUGCCUGGGAGGGUCGACCGCCGCGUUGGGACGGAGAUACUGGCAAGACUACUACGGGAGGCAGCAGUGGGGAGUAAGGCACGAUGGGCGGAAGCCUGAGGCAGCGACGCCGCGUGGGGGAUGCCGGCCGUCGGGUUGUAAACUCCGGUCGACAGCGAGGUAGCCACCUGGUUGGAAGGGUGGUGACGGUAGUGGGAGAAGAAGCACCGGCUAACUACGUG